rnacentral:rRNA from 1 species
UAUGACGGGUAUCCGGCCUGAGAGGGUGAACGGACACACUGGAACUGAGACACGGUCCAGACUCCUACGGGAGGCAGCAGUAGGGAAUAUUGCUCAAUGGGGGAAACCCUGAAACAGCAACGCCGCGUGGAGGACGAAGGUUUUAGGAUUGUAAACUCCUUUUGUGAGAGAAGAUUAUGACGGUAUCUCACGAAUAAGCACCGGCUAACUCCGUGCCAGCAGCCGCGGUAAUACGGAGGGUGCAAGCGUUACUCGGAAUCACUGGGCGUAAAGAGCGCGUAGGCGGAAUAAUAAGUCAGAUGUGAAAUCCUAUAGCUUAACUAUAGAACAGCAUUUGAAACUGUUAUUCUAGAGUAUGGGAGAGGUAGGUGGAAU